UUUUCACAUGACUUUUUGAUAUUUUCACAUGAAAAUUGUCGCUAUAGAUCCUAUCAGAUAUAGAUAGGAUCUAUAGAGACACUUUUCAUGUGGAAAUAUCAAAAAGUAAUGUGAAAA
rnacentral:pre_miRNA from 1 species